UACAACCAUAUCACGCAGAAACAACGGUUCUCGUAGGAUCAUCGAAGUUAAGCAACGUCGGGCCUGUUCAGUACCUAGAUGGGUGUCCACUUGCGAAUAUCAGGAGCU